rnacentral:lncRNA from 13 species
AACAGACACACCGUCAGAGCCAAACAUAAGCCUUCGGGGGAACAUGAUCUGACAAGCAGCUGCCACUGCUGAAAACUUUCUCUGUAGACCCUGACAUCUGGCUUCUUCAGCUGCCAGGCUUGGCCUCCUCCAAGGUGCCACAGGAGACAGGUUGCUGCAGCAGCAAGUUUCUAGCCCUGAUGCUUCCAAGGGGAAAACAAAAAAAGAGGAAAGAAGAAAAAAAAGAGAAAGCUUUGAAAGAUGACCAAGGUUUGUCCUGAAGACUCAAAAACACCACGAAUGCAAACCAAAAGAGAUGAUCUUUGAAGAGAGGACUGUUCUUUGCAUUGAUUAGAAUCUCCAUGGUCAGUAUGGAUGUGUUCAUGCCAUAAGCUCCUGGCUGGGGGAAGCUCGGCUCUCCUUGGGGCUGUCUGGGUGAGUCAUUCUCACUAUGUUACAUUUAGCA